rnacentral:rRNA from 1 species
AUGUCAGUGGUUUAUGGGCCUCAAGAGGAUGCACAAAAGGUCGCAAUGCUGGAGGAGCUAUCAGCUAGGGAGCUGCUUUUCCCGGGACCGUGGAUGGCAAUUGGAGACUUCAACAUGAUUCUAAAUGUUGCCGACAAGAAUAAUUCCCUGCUAGACAGAAGGAUAAUGGGUAAAUUCAAGAGAUUUGUCGACGAUAACACACUCAAGGAAUUGUUCUUGCAUGGAAGGAGGUUCACAUGGAGCAACGAGAGGGAGAGGCCC